rnacentral:lncRNA from 1 species
UUUCUUCGGGGUUAUUUUCAUCUCGGUCCAAGAUGGUCUUGCCAUGGCAGUAAGUUCUCUUCUCCAACCUUCUCAUAAUAUGCAAUCCCACAUGUCAAACCUGUAAAGUUAUGAGAAUAUAUAUCAAUGAACCAGGUUGGGAUGUCUAUUUUCAAGAUCCUCCUGCAAAUUACUAGGCCAAAGACAGUGAUGUUGGGGAACAUUCCCGGGACAGAUAUUUUCCGGGAUCUUCACCAUUACAAAGAAUCGAUGAAGAUCCCGGGUUUCCUUAUCCUAAGCAUUGAAGCUCCUAUCAACUUCGCUAACUCCACAUAUCUGAAUGAGAGGUUGGUUAUCACUUUACACAUUUUGUAAUACCUUACCUAUCUUUAGAUUAAUUAUUCUGUAUCUCUACUGUGUAAUUGGAAAUGGGCUUCUUUUACGAAGGAUCUUGAGAUGGAUUGAAGAAUAUGAAGCCGAAGAUCAUAAGAAGCAGUCAAGCCUUCAAUUUCUG